UUUUUUUUUUUUUUGUCACCGUCCUAAAAAAAGAAAGAACCGUAGGUAAGUUCCCUACAUUUAAGAAUGAAUCGAAUUAAUUGAGCCUGGAAGAGGAAGUGUUCUUGCUUAAGGUAGGCUGAAUGCAGGUUGUUUUAAUCCCUGUGGGUAGUAAAUGAGCGUAAAGAUCCCCUAACUAAAAUAAUAAUAAUAAAAAAAUAAUUUAAAAAAAGGCAUAAUAAAGGCCUAUUUACAAGACUUAAUGCUGUCUCUAAAGAAGAACACCACCGUGUUUGAAAUAAUUUAGCACAAAACCCUGUACGAACCUAAUGUUUGUUUUUGUUGUGAUUUCUCAAACUUCUUUGGAAAAUAGAGUAAACUCAUCUCCCUUCAAAGUUCUGUAUGUAAUCUUAGAAUAGUUAGCGCAAAAAAAUCCGCUAGGUAGCAAAACAUGUAGAACCCAAGGUAACUGUAUACUUUACAUUUGAAGAUGAUGACUUCCAAAAUCUGUAAUGACCAAGCCAAGUCAAGGACAAUUUUUUCCUUGACAAAAAAAAAAAAAAAAAAAAAAAAAAACUUUUCCCUAUUUUAUUAUUUUCAAUGCAUUGGAUUGGAAUGCAGUAUUUGGCUGGACAAAAUAUUGACGGGUAAUAAAUGGAUCGUUGCUUGCUAAUGCACUUUAUAUAUUAUUUAAAGUAGCAUUAGUUAACCAAAUAUCGACUGGUCCAAACCACUGGAAGAUAAAUAGCUACCUGAAACUUCACUGGGGAGCAUGCUCUUCUUGAAAGGUUCUGGAGUACAAAGAGGAUUAGGCAGAAAAGUGCAAACAUAGGGCCUGCAAAAUUGGGAAACGAGGCAUUGGAGGUGACAGGACAAAGAAGGAUGUGUAUGGAGUUCAUUGUAAGCUCAGAAAUUAAAAAAUAUGCUGGAAUGAGAGCAAUGGGAAAAAAGAUCAUCUAGUGUUUCUUGAGGAGGAGAAAAAUUAUAAACUAAUUUUAUUCUAGCUUGCUCAGUAGAUCUGAGCUUCUUUAGUUGAAGUAUUAACCUAUUCGUUUCUAAGGAUACUGUUGGCUCUUAAUGACUUUGGUUGCUGCUUGAGAAAGGAUGCAGGCAGUUCCCACUCAAAGCAGUAGUUCAACGAAGAAUAGUAGGAAAGAUGUCAGUCUUCAGUAAUUUGUUCCAUUUAGGAUAGUGAAGGCUAUGAGGCUACAGGCUUAGUAAAAGCUGCCUCUUACCUGUGUGUUUAUCCACAUUUCCUAGGCACUUGUUACAGAGCCUGAGCAACUAUUCUGAAAACUAAAUGAUGACAUUAGAAAGAGAUGUCGUAGAUUUCUACUCAUUUUGUUCAAAUGCCUAAGAAACUUGCCUAAAUAAGGCAAAUAACAUGAAUUUCACAUAAUACUGUCAUGUUAUGUGAAAAAUCUACGCUCAUGGAACAGUGCAAGAGCUGAGAGCUGUGGACAUACAACUUAAACAAGUGUUAUACAUCUUGUAAUGUUUGUUUAGGAAGGGGAAAAGGUUCAAUGUCUGCCAUUUAUCUGAUGUAUAAACAUCAAUAUUGAAAAGAAAAUCAUACAGUCAUAAGCAUCUUUAUGGAGUUGCUGUAAGCAGAUGUUACCUUCAUGGUCGCAGUCCACUAUUUCAUGUUUGAAUUACUAAAUAAUUUUGCUGAUCAUAAAAACUAGCUUCGCAAAUUUUGAUGCUCAUCAGGAACAUCUGCUUGAUUUCAUAUAUUUCAUGAAAGAUACGUUCACCUGUCCUGCCGGGUGUCAGCUUGGAAUGCAAGGCAGCCAGCUUACUUGAUGUACAGCAGCCUGUACGUACCUGUCAUGGAUGGAGAAUAGAGCACUGCCCACUUCACUCAUAGGAGGAAGGCGAAAGGGUAUUUACUGAUAUAAAAUAGAUACAAUAUGUGGUAUUUUGAACAACGAUUACAGCAAUUUAAGAUUCAAAAUUGCUUGAUUCAAAACAUCCUUGACUGUUUGUUAAACAGAGGGUGACGGGUGCAUAAUGAAUCUAAGACUAAAUCCUAGCGAAGCUAGUAUGGAUUAAAAAAAAAAAUAACUUACCGUGCAUCUGUCAUCAAGGCAUUAACACAUCACCCUGUAGAGGUGAUGCACCCAGAUGCAAGUGUGUAGUCUUGCAUCUGGGCAAGAACAACCCCAGUUACCAGUAUAGGUUGGGGACUGACCUGCUGGAGUGCAGCAUAGGGGAAAGGGACCUGGGGGUCCUGGUGGACAGCAGGAUGACCAUGAGCCAGCACUGUGCCCUUGUGGCCAAGAAGGUCAAUGGCACCGUGGGAUGUAUUAGGAGGGUUGUGGUUAGUAGGUCCAGAGAGGUUCUCCUCCCCCUCUACUCUGCCCUGGUGAGACCACAUCUGGAGUAUUGUGUCUGUUCAAGAAGUAUGGGGAACUGCUUGAGAGUCCAUAGCAGAGCCACAAAGAUGAUUAAGGUUGUGGAGCAUCUCCCUUAUGAGGAAAGGCUGAGGGAGCUGGGUCUCCUUAGCUCGGAGAAGACUGAGGGGUAGUGUUUAUAAAUAUGUAAAGGGUGAGUGUCAAGAGGAUGGAACCAGGCUCUUCUCGGUGACAUCUAAUGAUAGGGGACGUGGGGCAACGGGUGCAAGCUGGAACAUAGGAGGUUCCAUGUAAAUAUGAGAAAAAACUUCACGAUGAGGGUAACAGAACACUGGAAGAGGCAGCCCAGAGAGGUUGUGGGGUCGUCUUCUCUGGAGACAUUCAAAACCCACAUGGAUGCAUUCCAGGUGACCUAAUCUAGGUGUUCCUGCCCUGGCAAGCGGGUUGGACUAGAUGAUCUUUUGAGGUCCCUUCCAAUCGCUGAUAUUCUGUGAUUCUUUGUGAUCUAUUGAACUAGGUGUCAUCAGUUCUCUGAGCAACCAGUUUGAGACAGUAUAGUGGUUGUUAACUGUCUCUGGAGAAAUCUUGACUGUUACCAGUCCCAAGGACAAGGUCUUUUGAACCUCACUGUGUGCAUGAGGAGUGCACCUUCACAAUACAAUAUUAUACAUAACAUAGUAGUUCCAGUACUGGAUCUAAAUGGACCAUCCUGGAUACUGGAUUCAGGUUAGUGCUGGAUGUAGCUGUUGUGACCAACCUGUCCAAGCACCAGCCAAGUACUAUUAUUCUCCUUGCACACUGAUUUGUAGUUGAAGAGCUUUUGUUAAAUACAAGCCACUAUUUAUUUUAGCAAUUUAUAUUCUAAAGAAUUGAAUCUUUGUCUCCCUUGUGUUUGUUGAAUGAUAACCUCUUG
ensembl:lncRNA